UAGGGAAUAUUGGGCAAUGGACGCAAGUCUGACCCAGCCAUGCCGCGUGCAGGAAGAAGGCUUUCUGAGUCGUAAACUGCUUUUGAACAGGAACAAAGAGCCCUUGCGAGGGAAGUUGAGUGUACUGUUAGAAUAAGCACCGGCUAACUCCGUGCCAGCAGCCGCGGUAAUACGGAGGGUGCAAGCGUUGUCCGGAUUUAUUGGGUUUAAAGGGUGCGUAGGCGGCUCUUUAAGUCAGUGGUGAAAUCCUUCAGCUUAACUGAAGAAUUGCCAUUGAUACUGAAGAGCUUGAGUACAGACGAGGUAGGCGGAAUUUAUGGUGUAGCGGUGAAAUGCAUAGAUACCAUAAAGAACCCCUAUUGCGAAGGCAGCUUACUAGGCUGUAACUGACGCUGAGGCACGAAAGCGUGGGGAUCAAACA
rnacentral:rRNA from 1 species